rnacentral:rRNA from 1 species
UACGAAGGGGGCUAGCGUUGCUCGGAAUGACUGGGCGUAAAGGGCGCGUAGGCGGCCUUGACAGUCGGGCGUGAAAUUCCUGGGCUCAACCUGGGGGCUGCGUUCGAUACGUCUGGGCUGGAGUAUGGCAGAGGGGGGUGGAAUUCCGCGUGUAGCAGUGAAAUGCGUAGAGAUGCGGAGGAACACCGAUGGCGAAGGCAGCCCCCUGGGCCAAUACUGACGCUCAGGCACGAAAGCGUGGGGAGCAAACAGG